UACGUAGGGGGGCAAGCGUUGUCCGGAUUUAUUGGGCGUAAAGAGCGUGUAGGCGGCCAAGCAGGUCCGCUGUGAAAACUCGAGGCUCAACCUCGAGACGUCGGUGGAAACCGUUUGGCUAGAGUCCGGAAGAGGAGAGUGGAAUUCCCGGUGUAGCGGUGAAAUGCGCAGAUAUCGGGAAGAACACCCGUGGCGAAGGCGGCUCUCUGGGACGGUACUGACGCUGAGACGCGAAAGCCAGGGGAGCAAACGGG
rnacentral:rRNA from 1 species